AGGAGUUUCGUGAGAGCUAAUGUGGACACAGGAAACAAGACAGUUUGGAAAUUGCAGACUUUCAAACACCAACUUCAGAUGGAUGGCAGCAGUUGUGGUGUUCUAAUAUUAAAUUUUGCAGAACAGUACCUUACAAGUGGAUCAAUUGAUCAGGUGGAAACCAGCCCAGCAUCUAUAAGAGCAGAAAGACUGGAGAUUGCUGGCCUCCUUAUGGAAAAUCAGGGUAACAUAGAUGAAUACUGCAUAAUAUGCAGCAUGAUGGACCUGCAAUCAGCUAACACCACAAUUAACAUGGUGCAAUGUGAUCACUGCAACAGACGGGCACACACUGAAUGCACUCCGUACUCUGCUGAAGAGUUAUCAACAG